UCCGGUCAUUUAGAGGAAGUAAAAAGUCGUAACAAGGUCUCCGUUGGUGAACCAGCGGAGGGAUCAUUA
rnacentral:rRNA from 1 species